UGUUCUGUGGGUUAUGCGUUGGAACGUGAAGCCAGCAUUUUUCCAGCCCCAAGAAGACUGUCCCUGGAUCACGAUCCUCCCUCCCUGCUUCUGGUGUCCCUUUAAGUGCCCUUCGCUGGAUUGUCAGACUGCAUUGAUAUGACUGCAAGUUCCUUUGAUUCCGGCAGUUUAGUCAGGAAACAGGUCACCGGUGAAUAGGCGUCUGCUGGGGGUGCUCUUAAAAUAAUUUUUGGGAUGAUGAAGGUGGUCUUUAGGUGAAAUUUCCCACCCUUGUGCAUGUGAAGUUUUCUGUGGUUGGGGCAAAUAAAUUUCAAUUUCUGAAGGUAACUUGUAGAUAUGCCACAAAAAUAAAAACGAGUUAUUAAAAAACCAAUGGAUAUCUGUUUGUUAAAUUUGUGUAUGAAAAGAUAUUUAAGGCAUAGUUACCAGUAAACGGAAAGGGAACCAGAAUCAAUGUGUGGAGCAGACGAGGACAAAUGAAUAUUUUCUAUCAGCAUAGGUGAUGAGAGUUAGGGAAGUGUGAAGCGGGAGGAUCUCUCCGUAUUAUUUUUUGUCAACUUAUUGUGAUUACUUCGACAGAUAGCUUUAAAUUAGAGGCAUUGUGGUUACCGUUUA